UGUGCGCGGGCGGCGACGUCGUGGCGCUCUAUCACAGCGCCAAGGUGGGUGGCGCCGACGCGCGGCGGUUCUGGUUCGACGAGUACGUCC
rnacentral:tRNA from 1 species